ACUAUGGACCAUCACACGAAUGAGGAGCAGCUUGUCCGGCGAGCUGUUCACUUAGUUAUUGUUGGUGUCCUGCAGUUGUAUCAAGAACAUCUGAGAAUCAGAACCUCGGGAGUGUGGUCUACAUAUUCAGCUUGUUCCUUUAUGUACCUGCAGUCAGAGCUGUUCAGCUCUGAGGAAGAACUCUGGUUCUUGGCAGCAACGUUGUGUUAAUAAUGAGGUGAGUUGAACUGCAGCCAGACCAAACAAAGUGUGUUUUUGUGGGCUGAAUUUCCUCCUUUACAUCCAGACCUACAGAGAGAAACUCAAGAGGAGGAAGCAGUUUGCGAUGUCAAUGAUUAACUCUGAGCUCAGUUAUGAAGCUGCAGCUGAGUCAUUUCACCUCAGUCAUGGCAGCAUCUCCGCCUACAGCAUCUCCAUCUGCAGUAUGUCCACCUGCAGCAACUUCAUCUGCAAUGUCUUCAUCUGCAGCGACCGGCGGCAUCUUCGUGGUCACACAUGUGAUCCCAGCAGCUCUGACCGCUGCACCACAGAACCAUCUAGAUAAAAGCUGGUUCUCUAGAGGCAGACUGGAGGCACUUGGGACGGUGCAGAUCCUCAUCGGUAUAGUGGUCUUCCUCUUUGGGAUCAUCCAGCUUCCACAUGGCAGUCCUCUGGAUAUGUUCAGCGGCGUCUUCGUCUGGGCAGCUCUGACUUUCAUCACAGCUGGAUCUGUGACGGUGGCUGCUGGGAGGUCGUUCAACCAGCGUCUGGUCAGUACCUCAUCAUCACGGUGUGAAACAUCUGCAGCUCAGGUGUUCAAGUGUGCUCUCCUGUGUUUGCUCAGCAGGUGAAAAAGUCCUGGGCUUCAAUGUUGCCGCUGCAGUAGCUUCAGCUGCUGCCAUCGCCAUCUACUGUGCAAGCGCCAUCAUUUCUUCCAGCGAUGACCAUUAUCAGAACAACUGCAGUUACUAUGGAUACUACAACUGCAAUCGAUGGAACUAUUAUUUGGUUCCCAGUGCAGAAGUUUCCUGUGUUCUAGCUGUGUUCUCCUUCCUGGAGCUCGUUCUCUCAACAUGCAUCGCUGUGUUUGGCUGCAGAGUCUUAAGUCAUUCCACAGAGCAGGUGAGUCCAGGUGCUUUCAUCUUCCUCCUGUGGUUCUACAUCAAACCUGUCAUCUGUUCUUUCAGCCACCAAUCAUCAUGAUCAACCAGUCGCUUGAAGCUGCAUCACAGACACCAGUGGCCACGCCCACAUACGAAGAACCAUCCACUCCUGAGGACCCGCCCCCUUCAGAAAGCAAUUAUGAGAGACUGAAACUUCCAGAAUACGACACCAUGGUAGUCUGACCCCCAUGUUCUUGGCCUGCCGAAGAACGUCACAGAGAACCAACAGACAGAACUUGCAGAUUUAAGACAUUUUGUUACAAAACUAAAUAAGAGAAAGAAAAAAAACAUGACAACAUUAUUCACGAAACUAAACAUGAUAGUAAAAGAUUUUUGAGUACUUUAAAUCAUUUGGUGAAAGGCAAAACGAAGACCACACCAUCUUACUUCAAAACUGAAGGGGCCUUUCUCACUAAAUCUAAAGACACUGCAAAUCAUAAAAAAUAUAUAUAUUUUACUAAUAAAAUUGAUAAGCUUAAGAGUACUGUACAGAAUAAUAACACUGAUCUAGCUGUGAGAUUAAUAAAUCAGAUUUGAUGAA